rnacentral:rRNA from 1 species
UACGGGGGGGGCAAGCGUUGUUCGGAAUUACUGGGCGUAAAGGGCUUGUAGGCGGCCAACUAAGUCAGACGUGAAAUCCCUCAGCUUAACCGGGGAACUGCGUCUGAUACUGGAUGGCUUGAGUGUGGGAGAGGGAUGCGGAAUUCCAGGUGUAGCGGUGAAAUGCGUAGAUAUCUGGAGGAACACCGGUGGCGAAGGCGGCAUCCUGGACCAUUACUGACACUGAAAAGCGAAAGCCAGGGGAGCAAACGGG